GAGGAGGAGGAGGAGAGGUCGUAGCCGUCUCCAGGAGCCCUUAGAGACCGAGUCCCGGCGGCGACGGCGGGGCAGCGCACCGGCAGGCGGAUUCAUUCCACUUAAAACCUGAAAACAUUGGACCACACAAAGUCUUACUGGUAAGUUCUUCAUUUCUUAAACAAAGUGACUGUUUGACUUUAUUUUUGAGAUGAUAUUCACACUUCUAAGUUAGAUGCUUCCCUACCAGUGCUAUGAUGAGAUGUCUAUUUAUUUGUACUUUUCUUUAAUCUCUGUAAUUUAUGAUGUUUCCAUGCCUUAAAAAAACAGAGCAACCCAUGUUCCUUUGUAAGACCAUGGGCAGGAUAAAGAUCCAUGAUUACAUGCCAAAUACUAUUAAAAUAAAACUUUUUUGGGUAAUGAAACUAUUUCCAGGCCCCUGUUGAUGGGAGUAUCCAAAACAACAGAGUGUUAUUUCAG
rnacentral:sRNA from 1 species